CCUACGGGUGGCAGCAGUGAGGAAUAUUGGUCAAUGGACGAGAGUCUGAACCAGCCAAGUAGCGUGAAGGAUGACUGCCCUAUGGGUUGUAAACUUCUUUUAUCAAGGAAUAAAACGAGGCACGUGUGCCUUUUUGCAUGUACUUUAUGAAUAAGGCUCGGCUAACUCCGUGCCAGCAGCCGCGGUAAUACGGAGGAUCCGAGCGUUUUCCGGAUUUAUUGGGUUUAAAGGGAGCGUAGAUGGGUUGUUAAGUCAGUUGUGAAAGUUUGCGGCUCAACCGUAAGAUUGCAAUUGAUACUGGCAGUCUUGAGUACAGUUGAGGUAGGCGGAAUGCGUGGUGUAGCGGUGAAAUGCUUAGAUAUCACGAAGAACCCCGAUUGCGAAGGCAGCUUACUAAACUGUGACUGACAUUGAUGCUCGAAAGUGUGGGGAUCAAACAGGAUUAGAUACCCUGGUAGUC
rnacentral:rRNA from 1 species